CAGUCGCCGCGGUAAUACGUAGGGUGCGAGCGUUAAUCGGAAUUACUGGGCGUAAAGCGUGCGCAGGCGGUUUUGUAAGACAGAGGUGAAAUCCCCGGGCUCAACCUGGGAACUGCCUUUGUGACUGCAAGGCUAGAGUACGGCAGAGGGGGAUGGAAUUCCGCGUGUAGCAGUGAAAUGCGUAGAUAUGCGGAGGAACACCGAUGGCGAAGGCAAUCCCCUGGGCCUGUACUGACGCUCAUGCACGAAAGCGUGGGGAGCAAACAGGAUUAGAUACCCGCGUAGUCCCUGUCUCUUAUAC
rnacentral:rRNA from 1 species